rnacentral:rRNA from 1 species
GACAGGAGGUGCCGAGCGUUAGGCGGAAUCACUGGGCUUAAAGCGUGUGUAGGCGGGCCGUUAAGUAUCUUGUGAAAUCCCCCGGCUCAACCGGGGAAUGGCUGGAUAUACUGGCGGUCUUGAGCGAUCUAGGGGCAGAUGGAACAAGUGGUGGAGCGGUGAAAUGCGUAGAUAUCACUUGGAACGCCAAAGGUGAAAACAGUCUGCUGGGGAUCUGCUGACGCUGAGACACGAAAGCCAGGGGAGCGAACGGG